UACGUAGGGUGCGAGCGUUAAUCGGAAUUACUGGGCGUAAAGCGUGCGCAGGCGGUUCGUUGUGUCGGUGGUGAAAUCCCCGGGCUUAACCUGGGAAUGGCCAUGGAAACUGGCGAACUGGAGUGCGGCAGAGGGGGGUGGAAUUCCGCGUGUAGCAGUGAAAUGCGUAGAGAUGCGGAGGAACACCGAUGGCGAAGGCGGUUCUCUGGGCCUUACCUGACGCUGAGGAGCGAAAGCGUGGGGAGCGAACAGG
rnacentral:rRNA from 1 species